CGGGAUAACAACCUGGAAACAGAUGCUAAUACCGGAUAACAACAGAUGAUGCCUAUCAACUGUUUAAAAGAUGGUUCUGCUAUCACUCUUGGAUGGACCUGCGGUGCAUUAGCUAGUUGGUAGGGUAACGGCCUACCAAGGCGAUGAUGCAUAGCCGAGUUGAGAGACUGAUCGGCCACAUUGGGACUGAGACACGGCCCAAACUCCUACGGGAGGCAGCCAGAA
rnacentral:rRNA from 1 species